AUUACCUCAGUAACGGCGAGUGAAGCGGUAACAGCUCAAAUUUGAAAUCUGGCCGCAAGGUCCGAGUUGUAAUUUGUAGAGGAUGUUUCGAGCAUGGUCUGGCCUAAGUUCCUUGGAACAGGACGUCAUAGAGGGUGAGAAUCCCGUAUGCGGUCAGGUGCCUACGCUCAUGUGAAACUCCUUCGACGAGUCGAGUUGUUUGGGAAUGCAGCUCAAAAUGGGUGGUAAAUUUCAUCUAAAGCUAAAUAUUGGCCAGAGACCGAUAGCGCACAAGUAGAGUGAUCGAAAGAUGAAAAGCACUUUGGAAAGAGAGUUAAACAGUACGUGAAAUUGUUGAAAGGGAAGCGCUUGCAACCAGACUUGCGCGCGGCUGAUCAUCCGGGCUUCUGCCCGGUGCACUCGGUCGCGCUCAGGCCAGCAUCGGUUUUGGUGGCGGGAUAAAGGCCUUGGGAAUGUAGCUCCUCUCGGGGAGUGUUAUAGCCCAGGGUGCAAUGCCGCCUACCGGGACCGAGGACCGCGCUUCGGCUAGGAUGC
rnacentral:rRNA from 1 species